GCAUAUCAAUAAGCGGAGGAAAAGAAACUAACUAGGAUUCCCUUAGUAACGGCGAGUGAACCGGGAUGAGCUCAAAUUUAAAAUCUGGCGUCUUUCAGGCGUCCGAGUUGUAAUCUAUAGAGGCGUUUUCCGCGCCGGACCGCGUCCAAGUCUCUUGGAAUAGAGUAUCAAAGAGGGUGACAAUCCCGUACUGGACGCGACAACCGGUGCUCUGUGAUAC
rnacentral:rRNA from 1 species